GUGUUGCACUUGAGGAGGAGAAGGAUGUGAGGUGUGUAGAAUUCGGCGCAAAGGGAGACGAUCAAGAUGGUGGAGCAGAAUCCAGAGGACGCCGGGAGACCAGGUGUUCUGGUCCAACUUCCUCUUUUCCUUCUUUGUGGUCUAUCUGCUGCGAUUGCCGCACAGGAAACCUGCCGAGCCGACAUUGACGCCAAGUGCGGCGAUGCCGCUUCCAAUGAUUGUGAGGGCAAGUUCUUCCCGGGCUUUACCAAGAUCAACUAUUAGGGUCCAACUAGCAAGAGGCCGCUUGCUUACAAGUGGUAUAACACAGAGGAAGUGAUUCUUAUAAAGAAAAUGGAAGCAUGAUUUGCAGAAAUAUGCCUUUUUGGUGUAUAUCCUUUUAAUUUACUUGUACAUUAUGUGCUACACUAGGAUUACAUAUUUGUUUUGUGCUACGGGUUUGGUUGUGGUUCAGUGUGGCAUUCUGGCAUACGUUCCGGGAUACCGGAGGAGAUCCUUUUGGUGCACCUACCUACAAAGAACUGGCCUUGGGAGGAUGGCAUGAAUUCCCUGGCCAUGGCUACGAGAACUAU